rnacentral:rRNA from 1 species
GACGAACGCUGGCGGCGUGCUUAACACAUGCAAGUCGAACGAUGAAGCCGGAGCUUGCUCCGGUGGAUUAGUGGCGAACGGGUGAGUAACACGUGAGCAAUCUGCCCUUGACUCUGGGAUAACUGCGGGAAACUGUAGCUAAUACCGGAUACGACACCUUGGGGCAUCCCAGGGUGUGGAAAGAAUUUCGGUCAAGGAUGAGCUCGCGGCCUAUCAGCUAGUUGGUGAGGUAAUGGAUCACCAAGGCGACGGCGGGUAGCCGGCCUGAGAGGGUGACCGGCCACACUGGAACUGAGACACGGUCCAGACUCCUACGGGAGGCAGCAGUGGGGAAUAUUGCACAAUGGGCGAAAGCCUGAUGCAGCAACGCCGCGUGAGGGAUGAAGGCCUUCGGGUUGUAAACCUCUUUUAGCAGGGAAGAAGCGAAAGUGACGGUACCUGCAGAAAAAGCACCGGCUAACUACGUGCCAGCUGCCGCCGUAA